rnacentral:rRNA from 1 species
GACAGAGGUGGCAAGCGUUGUUCGGAUUUACUGGGCUUAAAGGGCGUGUAGGCGUCCUGAUAAGUCAGAUGUGGAAGCCUCAGGCUUAACCUGAGAAUUGCAUUUGAAACUGUCAGGAUUGAGUAAGGCAUGGGAGGGCGGAAUUCCUGGUGUAGCGGUGAAAUGCGUAGAUAUCAGGAGGAAGGCCUGUGGCGAAGGUGGCCCUCUAGGCCUUUACUGACGCUGAGGCGCGAAAGCGUGGGUAG